UACGAAGGGGGCUAGCGUUGCUCGGAAUCACUGGGCGUAAAGGGUGCGUAGGCGGGUCUUUUAAGUCAGGGGUGAAAUCCUGGAGCUCAACUCCAGAACUGCCUUUGAUACUGAAGAUCUUGAGUUCGGGAGAGGUGAGUGGAACUGCGAGUGUAGAGGUGAAAUUCGUAGAUAUUCGGAAGAACACCAGUGGCGAAGGCGACACACUGGCCCGUUACUGACGCUGAGGCACGAAAGCGUGGGGAGCAAACAGG
rnacentral:rRNA from 1 species